AGUAAAUUGGUUAAGUUAGAAAGGGCGCACGGUGGAUGCCUUGGCACUAGGAGCCGAAGAAGGACGGGACUAACACCGAUAUGCUUUGGGGAGCUGUACGUAAGCGUUGAUCCAGAGAUUUCCGAAUGGGGGAACCCACUAUCUUUAGUCGGAUAGUAUCCUUACGUGAAUACAUAGCGUGAGGAAGGCAGACCCAGGGAACUGAAACAUCUAAGUACCUGGAGGAAGAGAAAGAAAAAUCGAUUUCCUGAGUAGCGGCGAGCGAAACGGAAAGAGCCCAAACCAAGAAGCUUGCUUCUUGGGGUUGUAGGACACUCUAUACGGAGUUACAAAAGAAAGUUAUAAAUGAAGCGGUCUGGAAAGGCCCGCCAAAGACGGUAACAGCCCGGUAGUUGAAAUAGCUUUCCCUCCAGAGUGGAUCCUGAGUACGGCGGAACACGUGAAAUUCCGUCGGAAUCCGGGAGGACCAUCUCCCAAGGCUAAAUAC
rnacentral:rRNA from 1 species